rnacentral:lncRNA from 1 species
GUGUUUGAGGUCAGUAGGUACCUUUGGUCGUAUUGUAGCCUUGUAGGUGUAUUUUCUCAAAGUUUUUAUAUAUUAAUCAUGCUCCUUUGUCUUAUGUAGGUAUCCCGGCAAACGAGGGGAGGUGAUUGAGAGAUUCAUGGCAGUUGAGCAUGUUCUUGACACGAGAACAACUUCAUUGAAGGGAGCUUUGGAUGGUACGUUUGCUACUCUAGGCUUAUCUAUGUCUAAUUUGAGAGGGCGGUGUUAUGAUGGAGCUUCAAACAUGAGAGGGGAAUUCCAUGGAAUCCUUAUACUCAUUAUAUACAUUGUUUUGCCCAUCAGUUACAAUUAGUGGUUGUUGUUGUUGCCAAAUGUUGUUAAUCAGUAAGGAAUUUUUUUGAAUACACAAGCAUGGUCGUUAACAUUGUUAAUGCUUCUUAUAAAAGACAUGGUUAGUUAGCCCAAGAGCAACAUGAUGAAAUAGUACGCCAAAUAGAGGUUGGGGAACUUCUUGAGGGAAGAGGGAAAAACCAAUUACUAACCUUGCAAGACCUGGUGAUACACGAUGGGGAUCACAUCAUAAAACCUUGUGUCAUCUUGUUGAGAUGUGGAAACCAGUUCUAAAGGUAUUAGAAAACAUACACAAUGAUGUAGAUAAUGUUGCCCAAAGAACCACAGUUGCGGUUGAUAAAGCAUAUGGAGUCUUUUGAAUUUGUUCUCAUAUUGUAUCUUAUGAUUAGAUUAUUGGGCAAGACUAACAAUCUGUCACAAUGCUUGCAAAUGAAAAAUCAACAUAUUGUAUGUGUUGUGGGUUUGAUUAAAACCACAUUGGAGGAUAUUCAAGAGAUUAGGCAGAAUGGUUGGGAUGAGCUCUUUGAAGAGGUAACCACUUUUGUGUCAAAUACAACAUUGUAGUGCCAAAUAUGGAAGAUACAAGAAAUUGAUAAUGGGCGUUCAAGGACUUGGGGUGGGCAAUUGGUAAGUUACAACCAUCAUUUCAAAAACGAAAUAUCAAUGUGUUGCAUGAUCAACUUAUUGUGGAGUUAAACAACCGCUUUGUUGAAAGGUCUACCCAAUUGUUGAGAUGCAUUGCUUGUCUUGAUCCCAAGAAUUCAUUUGCCAAUUAUAAUAAAGACAAGCUAGUUGAUCUUGCUAAUAUGUAUGCUGCUGACUUCUCUACAUAUGAAGUUACUUUUGUUCUUAGUAACCAACUAGACUCAUUCAUUCGGGAAGCAAGAGCUGAUACACACUUGAUGAAUUGCAAUGACCUUGAUCAUCUUGCCAUGAAUAUGGUUAUAACUAAUAUGCACACAAUUUUUCCCUUUGUUUACCGUCUUGUUGAGUUGGCAUUGACUUUACGUGUUGCAACGGCAACAGUGGAAAGGGCAUUCUCGGCAAUAGCAUUAUCAAGACUGGGUUGAGAAACAAAAUGGGUGAUGACUGGAUGAAUCAUAGAAUGGUGUGUUACAUCGAGCGAGAUAUAUUUAUUAGUGUUGAAGAAUCAAAGAUCAUCAAACGAUUUCAAGGUUAUCACACACGAAAAGGCGUUUUGCCUCGUCGUAGACUUAAGUUUCACAAUUUGGAUCUCUUAUUAACUAGUUAUACUUGCUAUAUUAUGCACUGAUUUGCAUUACAAAAUUUAUCAUUGAAGGUUUAGCUUCUUCUGCUAUUGAAGAUGUAGUGAUGGGAGGCUCGGAUCAAUCAAUACUUUGAUUUGGUAUCAAUCUCUUGUUUGUUUGAAUCUGGAAGAUGCAUGCGGCCAUAUAUCUCUUGUAUCAUCUAUAUAUACUUACAUAUUGUCUUUUCAUUUGUCUUACUUUAUUAUUUGAUCAUCAUGGAACAAAUGUUGUCAUUGAAUAUUAUACCUAGUUUAUUAUCAGUUAUGCAAUAUAGGUUGAUUUUUGUGUGCCUUGAAACUAGAAAAAAAAAAUUAGGUGGUUUCUAGCCCUUAGUUUCUCGCCUGGGACGUCAGCCAAUCUUGGCUCCACCAACUGGUCCAAAGAUAUGGUUAUAAUUUUGAUUAGCUCUGAUGUUCUCGGUAGUGCCAUGAAUGAUUAUGAAUAGAUUGGAUGUAUUUUUUUAAGUUAUCAACAUCAUGUGCUAAUGCUUCAACGAGAAAAAAAAAGGGUAAUCCCAAAACAACAGAAUGAGCUAAUUCGCCCUUAAUCAGCAAUUAUCCUAAAACAACGCUGGCAUUGCUUCCCAGUUUCUCCGGGGGUUGCAUGUGGUACAACCAAUCUAAAAAUUGUUUAGAACAUGAUAGAGCCAAGAAAAAACAUAUAUAAAAUAUCAAUCUUGGCGGGAACCCAUGUCAUGAUUUGACUCAAGAAAACAACAGAAUGAGCUAAUUCGACCUUAAUCAGCAAUUAUCCCAAAAUUUCUGCACGCAGCCCUCACCAUUCAGUUUAUCUUACACCAAGAAAAGAGAGCAAAAUUUACAUUUAUGAACAUGAGGAGACAGGUUUGGAUACAAACUGUUUGCAUAGACAUCAUGUCUGUCGCCUGUUCUUACUAUUUCCGGUACCUAAAAUAAAACUUCUCUGGUGUAUAUCUCACCGUAUACCUACAACUGUACAACCUUUGCAUCUGUACUGGCGUUUGAUAGCUACGGGUGCCGAGGAGUUCGUGGAGAGCAAGGCAUUCUUACAGGGGAGAACACCACAGUAAGGGGCGCGUGAUCUGAGAGGCUGUAGUUCUCAGGCCACAUGCCCUUCUCAACUUCUGGGGGGAACAGAACAGCUUCCUUCACGGUAAAGCCAAAGGUUUCGUCGCUCGGCUCAAAUGUGACAAUGCUUUCUUCAGCGACCUCGAUUUCAGUAUCAUCCUCCUCUUGGUUGUAGCAUUUUGGGCUCCAGAUACACCGCUUCAGGUGUUUAAGAAACAAUAUUAACUGGAGAUUCUGAGUGGAAGAAUUCCACUGUAGGGCAAUAUUUUUAAACAUUAGAGAUAGGACAACCUUGGCCAUUUGGUGUUUAGGUUUGAGGUGGCCAUGAACUUAAAUCACAACGAUUUCAGUUUAUUUGUCAUUGCAAUUUUACCCUGACGUAACUGAUAAAAAGCAUACUGACUGUACAAAAAAAUGCCCAAGCAAAGCCGAUACUAAGUAUUCCCAAUUCUGUAAGAAAUUUCAGGCAAUUUGCAGUCAUCUGCAAUUAAAUUUCAGAUCCAUCCUGGGCACUAGAGAUGCGUUCUCACCGAGAACAUGCUCUAGCCAUAAGUUUCCAAGGCCGAUCUGACCUUAUAGAACUUCAAAUUUCUGUUGAACCAAAUUUUAAUCACAUGGCAUGUGCUGCUGGGAGUUAUCAAUUGGUCAUUAAUACUAUGUACAUUCUAAAUCUUGUUGACCUCAUUAUUUAUUCAAUUUUUUAAACCAAGAUGAUCUUUCCGUGUGACAUGAAUCCCCCCCACCACCCCACCAUCACCCACCCACCCAAAAAGAAAAGACACACAAGAGUAAUUACCUGAAAUUCUUUGUAGUCAACAGCACCAUUCCCAUCAUGGUCAACUUCACUCCAUAGAUCUUCCAUUUCUUUAGAAUUUACACGAUCAGGGUGGACCAUUCCUAACUGUAUUUAUUGUAGCAUCAGCAAAAGUAUUAUCUAAAAUAAGUGUUCUCUACAUAGCACACACAGAGUAUCCUUAAUACCUGACAAAGUGCCUGGCAGAAGCUUGAGUAUGUGAUACAAUCAUCUGAACUGUCAGCUUUGAGGAGUGCAAAUGCAUUCUCCUCCGGAAGGGAUGCAACUUGGAGAAGAAGAUACUGAAAAGAGAACAGUUUAGACUUUCAUACUUAAGAGACCAAGGAAUUAUGUAUUCUUAACAGGUUAACUUGUUCUUCAAGGCCAACUACUACUUGAUAUUAGCGAUAGUAUGCCUCUUUUUUAAUUAAUGACACAGUGUUGAUCAUGUUUGCGUACCUUGAUAAUACCAAAGACAGCUUCAUUCCAGCUAGUUUUCAGGGGUUUCCUGCACUUAUCUGGAUUCAGAAGCCAUAUAAAAUCAACUCCACAGAUGUUCCCUCUAUGAUUCCGAUGACUCACCCACUAUACUCAAGAAGAGGUGAAGGUGGAGAAAAAUUAGAAUACAAUGCAAUCAUACAUACACAUAAAGUGUUGCUGGGCUAUCAAGCAUUAGUAGUAAAACAGAAUUGUCAUGUUACCUUGUGUGCAUCUUCUUCGCUGUCACUGUACUGAUGAGCAGUGUCAUAUGAUGAAACAAAUCCUUGUGAACGAAGAAAUUUGUAAACUUGGCCGCGCUUACUUCCAUUCCAAUCACUAUAAUAUGAAUGCCCUGAUCAUAUGUUAAUAUAAAUUUCACUGUAAUAUUCGUACAAGAACAUAAAAGAUAGCAUGCUUACUGCAUACUCACCCACAUAAGAUGAUAGGCAUUGGACCAAGUUUAUGCUCUUCCUGGUAAGCUUCUACAUACUGAAGGAUCUUAUAUACCUACCAUGGACACGGCAGUCAAUUAUUAAAUACCAUGCUGAAAUAUUAGCAGGCUGAAUGAUUAAGUGUACAACAGCAUACUAAUCAUACCUGCUUCAGUCGAACUAUUGAAAGGCUGUGAUCAUGGGGAAACACCAAAUGAGUGUUCACGAUGAGGCUCUGCUGCUGGACAUAGCUGCUGCUUCGAUUUUGCAAGAAAGGUAUGACUGACUCAACAUGCAAUAGCUGAGCAACUCGAUCUCCAAAAUCAUUAAACAGAAGCUCCCGGUGGUUCAAGACACAGAAGUAAUUCAUAUGUACAGCAGUCAGAAGACCUGGGUGGGGAAGAUACAAUUUGAGUGAAAAUUUGCAGACUAGUCCCAGUAGCAUUCUGUAACAAGGUUAUAAUUAAAAAGUUGAAUGUGCCUUCUCCAAAAUAAUUCCAGAACAAAACAACCAAUCAUGGCUACUGACAGAUAUUGCAUAUAUCAGUAUCGAAGGCAUUGAACAUAACAGCUUACAAGUAAUAUUACAUAUUCUUUCAAAUAGUAAACAGAUAAACAAAUCACAAUGUAAGGAUAAUCAUCAGAGGAAUUUAACACAAGAAAUUACAACAUCAACAUGGAAACAAUUUGAAUUACGAUCACGUGAACUGAAAAGAGCAGGCUGAAUAACAAUGUUGGAGUCCCAAUAAUCACACACAUCUUUUACCUUUUUAGUCCAUGUUCUGCAUUUUCUGUGCCAUUAAAUAUUCAAGUUUUCAGAUAUUUAUAGCAAUCUCAGAACAAACUACCAAUUGGAUGGAGCAGGCAAAAUGGACGGGGGUGGCUAAAAGGAAAACACACGUCACCUUACUUAAUCCAUACCACAAGAUACUUUGUCAUAAUACUACCUGAAAUGGAAGAGGGGGAGACAGCUCACCAUCUCCUCGGUUAUUUGUGCGGGCGAGCUUGAACAGCUUAUAAUUCGCAUCACCGAGUCGCUUCUCGUACAUGUUUACUAGCUCAUCAUUCCCCAACCACAC